GCAGCAUGAAUUCUCGUCAUCGCAACCAUGGUUGCCGCGCCCACCUUCAUUGCAGCAUCAGGGCUCUAUACUGACCUUGCCCUCAGAAGGACCUGAAGCACUGCAACAUGAACCUUGGUCAGCUGAGCCAUGGCAUCUGCACACUGGCGGUACAACCCAGCAUCAAGGUAAUGGCUUCCAUGGUGGGUGCGAAAGACAGCCACUAAGUGCCACAAGUGGCCCACCAUUGCACUGUUGUGAAACGCCACCGCAGACAUUGUUGCAAGCUCAGUCAUGGGACCCUUCUCCUCGUGGGGCUUCUGAGGAACAAGGUGUCAGGGGCCAAAACACGAAGCACCAACGAGCAGCAGAUCGCACAUCAAGCCACGCGUACCAGAACUUAAGCUCAGGAUACUGUCAGGAAACACUAACACUUCUGCACACCAUAAGGCUAGUGCAGCAAAAGCAAAGUGAGCAGUUGCUGGUCAUUAUCAGCAAGCUGAACAGCAGCACCACUGUUGAUCAACUGUCGACUGCAAGCUGCUUCGAUGAGCAGAUUAAAACUACAGAGGAGCUCAUGGCCUUCGAAGAGGAGCUAAAGAACAACCCUGAGAAAAGAAAC